rnacentral:rRNA from 1 species
ACUGGUGUCAGCCGCCGCGGUAAUACCAGCUCUCCGAGUGGUAGGGACGAUUAUUAGGCCUAAAGCGUUCGUAGCCUGCCUGGAAAGUCUCUCGUUAAAUCCAGCGACCUAAUCGUUGGACUGCGGGGGAUACUGUCAGGCUUGGGAGCGGGAGAGGCCGACGGUAUUCCUGGGGUAGGAGUGAAAUCCUGUAAUCCCGGGAGGACCACCAGUGGCGAAGGCUGUCGGCUAGAACGCGUCCGACGGUGAGGGACGAAAGCUGGGGGAGCGAACCGGAUUAGAUACCCGGGUAGUCCCAGCUGUAAACGAUGCGGGCUAGGUGUCAGUGUGGCUACGAGCCACUCUGGUGCCGCAGGGAAACUCAUAA